ensembl:snRNA U6 U6 spliceosomal RNA
GUGCUCACUUCAGCAGCACAUAUACUAAAAUUGGAACAACAGAGAGAUUAGGGAGGGCCCCUGCACAAGGAUGACACACAAAUUCGUGAAGUGCUCCACAUUUUU